UACGUAGGUGGCGAGCGUUAUCCGGAUUUAUUGGGCGUAAAGCGUCCGCAGCCGGUUUAUUAAGUCCAAAAUCAAAGCCCGAAGCUCAACUUCGGUUCGUUUUGGAAACUGAUAGGCUAGAGUGUGGUAGAGGCAAGUGGAACUUCUAGUGUAGCGGUAAAAUGCGUAGAUAUUAGAAAGAACACCAGUGGCGAAGGCGACUUGCUGGGCCACCACUGACGGUCAGGGACGAAAGCGUGGGGAGCAAAUAG
rnacentral:rRNA from 1 species